AUGGUGCCGACGUACCUCCCUCAUACGCGGUCUCCGACAUCAUCUUGCACUAUCUCAAGCAGUGUUGCUAGGAAGGAGCUGAAUGGAAGUGAAUUAGCUUUUCACUUCUUGCCGUGUAUUGCUACUAUGAUUUUCACCUUUUUGCUAGCUGUUGGUUGGUCUGUAAAAACGGGCGCGGCAAGGCGCGCGUCAUGCUCUAUGAAUACAAUUGAGCUCUCCAACUUGGUAUCAGACACCAGGCGCAUCAUGGCCACCAACUCCUCCUCCAACGCCACCACGAGCUCCGCCACCUCCCCCGGAUCCCUUUCUUCCUCCUCGACAGCGCCUGCUACGGCCACCGCGCCGGCCCCCUUCCUCUUCGGCACCUCUCCCUCUCUUCUCAGCGGCUCUUCCCCCGCCGACUCGGGCUCUCAAUUCGCCCCUCUGUUCACCUCCGGCGUCACCACCGCCCUGCCGGCACCCGCCCCGCGCCUCCCUAUCUUCCAAGAUCACAUCACCAACCACAUAAAAUUCCUUCUUAACCCCGCCGAUCACAACUAUCACAAAUGGAAGACUUUCUUCCUCAUGGUUCUCGUCCGAUACGACGUCUCCUUCCUCAUCGACCAGCCGCCGCCACCCAACGCCUCCUCCACCUACCUCGAGCUCGACGCUCACGUCGUCCUAUGGAUCUAUGCCACCCUCUCGGACACCAUGUACGACGUGCGAGGAUCAUGGGCACAUGCCCUACAAAUCCGAAAAUGCCUAUAA
rnacentral:rRNA from 1 species